CCUCCUGGGAAGUUCUUAUGUCGCAUAAGUCUUUUUGCAAUCGGGGUGUUAAAUGUUAUGUGGGACUAGAGCGACGGUUCGCCAGUUCAUUCGCAAAUAUGAGUCACAACGCCGAAGUAUUAUACUUAAUUUUUUUUGCGCAUUCAAUUGAAGCCCAUCACGUGAUAAGAGUGUCAUUGCGAGCAUCUUAAAUAGUAGAACAAUGAAAAACGAGGUGCGGCAGACGAUCCGCUCAUAUGGGCAUGAAUCGAGGUGCCGGAGCAUUU
rnacentral:lncRNA from 1 species